CGAACCGGGGGAACUGAAACAUCUAAGUACCCCGAGGAAAAGAAAUCAACCGAGAUUCCCCCAGUAGCGGCGAGCGAACGGGGAGGAGCCCAGAGCCUGAAUCAGCAUGUGUGUUAGUGGAAGCGUCUGGAAAGGCGCGCGAUACAGGGUGACAGCCCCGUACACAAAAGCGCAUGUGCUGUGAGCUCGAUGAGUAGGGCGGGACACGUGGUAUCCUGUCUGAAUAUGGGGGGACCAUCCUCCAAGGCUAAAUACUCCUGACUGACCGAUAGUGAACCAGUACCGUGAGGGAAAGGCGAAAAGAACCCCGGCGAGGGGAGUGAAAAAGAACCUGAAACCGUGUACGUACAAGCAGUGGGAG
rnacentral:rRNA from 4 species